CACAUCGUACAACAGUGCGAUGUACACAUUUUUGAGUGCCU
rnacentral:rRNA from 1 species